rnacentral:rRNA from 1 species
AUUGAACGCUGGCGGCAUGCCUUACACAUGCAAGUCGAACGGCAGCACGGGGCAACCUGGUGGCGAGUGGCGAACGGGUGAGUAAUGCAUCGGAACGUACCUUUCAGUGGGGGAUAACGUAGCGAAAGUUACGCUAAUACCGCAUAUUCUGUGAGCAGGAAAGCAGGGGAUCGCAAGACCUUGCGCUGAUUGAGCGGCCGAUGUCAGAUUAGCUAGUUGGUGAGGUAAAGGCUCACAAAGGCGACGAUCUGUAGCGGGUCUGAGAGGAUGAUCCGCCACACUGGAACGGAGACACGGUCCAGACUCCUACGGGAGGCAGCAGUGGGGAAUUUUGGACAAUGGGGGCAACCCUGAUCCAGCCAUGCCGCGUGAGUGAAGAAGGCCUUCGGGUUGUAAAGCUCUUUCGGCCGGGAAGAAAGCGCACGGGCUAAUACCCUGUGUGGAUGACGGUACCGGAAUAAGAAGCACCGGCCAACUACGCGCCAGCAGCCGCCGUAAGAC